rnacentral:misc_RNA from 1 species
AAAUUCUUCAUUCUUAAUUUAUUUACUGAUAGUUAUGACACCAAGAACUUUGAAGAGAUCGAUAAUAUGUGAAGACAGUGUGCUGCACUCCGGUUGUCUUUAGAGAUUGGAUAACAGCUAGAUUUUACACUUGCUAAUUAUAAAUGAGCCUGAAUUAAUAAAUUUCUUCGAUUAGGUUUGAGUAGCUUAAUAAUGUGGCUAGACACCAUUUUCAGGAAAGAAAAUUUGAAGAAAUGUAUUGAAAAACAUUUCCUUGACUUUAUGUUUUGCAACAAACAAAAAUGAAAGAUCUUCAUUUA